rnacentral:rRNA from 1 species
UGGGGAAUCUUCCGCAAUGGGUGAAAGCCUGACGGAGCAACGCCGCGUGAGGGACGAAGGCCUCUGGGCUGUAAACCUCUUUUCUCAAGGAAGAAGAUAUGACGGUACUUGAGGAAUAAGCCACGGCUAAUUCCGUGCCAGCAGCCGCGGUAAUACGGGAGUGGCAAGCGUUAUCCGGAAUUAUUGGGCGUAAAGCGUCCGCAGGCGGCUUUUCAAGUCUGCUGUUAAAGCGUGGAGCUUAACUCCAUCAUGGCAGUGGAAACUGAAAGGCUUGAGUAUGGUAGGGGCAGAGGGAAUUCCCGGUGUAGCGGUGAAAUGCGUAGAUAUCGGGAAGAACACCAGUGGCGAAGGCGCUCUGCUGGGCCAUUACUGACGCUCAUGGACGAAAGCCAGGGGAGCGAAAGGGAUUAGAUACCCCUGUAGUCA